rnacentral:tRNA from 1 species
UAAUCACUUUUAUUAGAA